UACAGAGGUCCCGAGCGUUGUUCGGAUUCACUGGGCGUAAAGGGUGCGUAGGUGGUGAGGUAAGUCGGAUGUGAAAUCUUACAGCUUAACUGUGAACUUGCUUUCGAUACGGGCAGACUUGAGGCAUUCAGGGGAGAACGGAAUUCCUGGUGUAGCGGUGAAAUGCGCAGAUAUCAGGAGGAACACCGGUGGCGAAGGCGGUUCUCUGGGCAUUACCUGACGCUGAGGAGCGAAAGUGUGGGGAGCGAACAGG
rnacentral:rRNA from 1 species